rnacentral:lncRNA from 1 species
CAAUCGGUCUAAUAGGCACAGAUCACCGACUUCAUGAUCAAUGAUCGAUGAUCAUCGAUGACCAUCGGUAUAUCAGAGUUACCGAUCAAUGGUCAUUUGGAUUUCUACAAUUACCGACAUACAGUCAACACAUUCAAACUACCAACAUAGAGUCGGUGUACCAAAAAUUGCUAGCACAGAAAGUGCAUAAUAGUCACGU